AGAGUUUGAUCAUGGCUCAGGACGAACGCUGACGGUGUGCUUUAGACAUGCAAGUCGAACGAGAAAGCCCUUCGGGGUGAGUAGAGUGGCGAACGGGUGAGUAACACGUGGGUAACCUGCCCCUCGCAGAGGGAUAACCGGGGGAAACCCCGGCUAAUACCUCGUACGCUUGCCGGGCCGCAUGGCUUGGCAAGGAAAGGUAGCUUCGGCCAUCCGGCGAGGGAUGGGCCCGCGGUCCAUUAGCUAGUUGGUGAGGUAACGGCCCACCAAGGCGACGAUGGAUAGCUGGUCUGAGAGGAUGAUCAGCCACACUGGGACUGAGACACGGCCCAGACUCCUACGGGAGGCAGCAGUCGGGAAUCUUGCGCAAUGGGCGAAAGCCUGACGCAGCAACACCGUGUGGGCGACGAAGGCCUUCGGGUCGUAAAGCCCUGUUGUUGGGGACGAAGGACGAAGGGUUAAUAGCCCCUAGUCUGACGGUACCCUUCGAGGAAGCCCCGGCUAACUACGUGCCAGCAGCGGCGGUAAUAC
rnacentral:rRNA from 1 species